UACGGAGGGUGCAAGCGUUGUCCGGAUUUACUGGGCGUAAAGAGCGCGCAGGCGGUCGUGCAAGUCGCGUGUGAAAGCCCCCGGCUCAACUGGGGAGGGUCACGCGAUACUGCUCGACUCGAAGGCAGGAGAGGGAAGUGGAAUUCCCGGUGUAGUGGUGAAAUGCGUAGAUAUCGGGAGGAACACCAGUGGCGAAGGCGACUUCCUGGCCUGUUCUUGACGCUGAGGCGCGAAAGCUAGGGUAGCAAACGGG
rnacentral:rRNA from 1 species